GCCGGGCAUGGUGGCGUGUGCCUGUAGUCCCAGCUACUCAGGAGGCUGAGGCAGGAGAAUCACUUGAACCCAGGGGGUGGAGAUUACAGUGAGCCGAGAUUGUGCCACUGCACUCCAGCCUGGGUGACAGAGUGAGACUCCGUCUCAG
ensembl:misc_RNA Metazoa_SRP Metazoan signal recognition particle RNA